rnacentral:lncRNA from 1 species
GGCGAAUUUCUUAUGCACGGGGGAUUGUAUUACACCAGAAAACUUCUUUUCCAAAUUGUACUGUGUUUUAAACUUGCUGAUAACGAACUGCCUGGCAUCAGACUCCUCACGGUCGUGAUCCAGGUUGAUGACGCGUCAGUCUGAACGGUUUUCAUGCUCACUGCUUUGCGCAUGCUCACUUCUUUGCCGCUUACUUCCUUGCCUGCCCCGACCACCUGAAGGGUCUUCUACAGAUCCCUCCUCUGCAAAUAUGUUGCAUCUCCGCUGAAUGCCGGGGACUUCCAUUCCCGUUGCUACGGAUAAAGGGCAAGCAUGAUCACACUCCUCCUCAACACAGGACCUAUCAGCAGUCCAUGAGAAGGCAAAUCAGGAGUCUGCUGCUCUAGCUUUCCCGACCUCCAUGCUUCUCCCGGGAGAUGGGCGUGUUGUUUAGGAACAAGACUCCAACAUUGCUCUGUUUUAUUUGUGAUCCCUGGACACCCUCCACCCCCCAAUAAAAGAACUCAAGGUCUUACCGAGGCCACAGGAAGAGCAUCAGAGAACUGGAGGCAUCCUUGCAGAAGCCAUCUUUGAUGUCCAGGUCAGUCAGACCUCCAAACCCAGCUGACACUGGACUGCAACCUCAUCAGAGAUUCAAGGCUAGAACCACCCAGUCCCAUCCCGUCCCCCCCACCCCCUGCCCCCAGCCAACCCAUCAGGCAAAGCGGCUGCUAAACCAUAAAGUUUGGGGGAAGAUCAUUACAUAAUAAUAGGUUAACAAAAGAAGCCCCAUACUGGAGACCCAGAGUUCUAGGGUAGCUGAUUCACUUGGCAGGUGGGUCUGGCCUGUUCUACCCCUUGGUUCCUGAACCAACUGCACAGCCAAAGAUUCGGUUUGGCUAAAUCGAACAACAGAAAACUCCAGACAGCAGAGCUUUAAACACGCCAGACGUUUCUUUCUCUCAAAGAAGUCCGGGUGAGCUGUCCAGGCUGGAACACUGGUCCAGCAUUCGAAGGACACUGUACAUGAUGUUGGCCUUGUGGAUCAAAAUGACACUUCAGGCAGCAGGGUGGAGGAAGGUUAUGAAGAAAACUAAAGAUGCUUUCUCCUGAGAUUGUUUAAAGCCGCCCUGUGUCACAGGGCUACAUUCCACUGGCCUGGGUGUCUCUCAUCAUGUCUACUUGAAACAGACCCUGCAAAAUGCUUGCUGUAGAUCCUGCCACUUGGGUAAGAAGGCUGCGGUGCAGCUCUUGGCAAUAUCAGCCUUGUUGUUGGGUCGUGGGAAUAAAAGAGGAAAUCAGAGUUUUGAAUAUAGAAUGUUGACCAGGGAAGGGAGUGAGCCCUUGUCCCCCAGUGUCUGAAAGGUGGGGACUAGAGAAAGCCUAAGGUCAAAGAAGUCAGAUGGGAACCAGGAAGAUCACAUAAAAAGCCUCCGGGCCAGGCCUGGUGGCGCACGCCUUUAAUCCCAGCACUCGGGAGGCAGAGGCAGGCAGAUUUCUGAGUUCGAGGCCAGCCUGGUUCCAGGACAGCCAAACAAAACAAAACAAAAAGUCUCCAGAUGUGGUGGCUCACAUCUGUAUCCCAGAACUCCAGAUUGGAGGCAAGGAAGGAAAAAAUGGCUUCCUUAAUGUGAAAACAGAAGAAAAAAAAAAAAAAAGGCAGAGACGUGAAAAACCUCUUGACAUUUGUAUGUGUUAAGGAACAGUUGUAUGUCCACACUCAGCCACAUAUAUUAAAAUAAAUUAAAUAGAGAGGGGGUGGGGAAGAAAGAGACAGACAGACAGAGAGAGAAGGAGAGAGGGAGAGAGGGAGAGGGAGAGGGAAUGGGAAGAAAUGAAGAAAAGCAGCUAGGUGACAGGAGACUAGAAAUGCUUCUCUACUUGGGCUACAUGUGACAGAUCAUGUAUGUGACAGAUCAUGUGAGAGAAGAGCCUGUGGUUUCACAAACACGAGAAGCA